AUUCGAUCCAAGCUUUGAUCCGGAAGCCCUUUGCUCCUCCCGUCGCUGUCCGUCCUCAACUCGUGCCGGCGUUUGAAAUUGGCACAAACAUCCCGACCUAUCCUCGACACAAAUCCACCAAAAAAAAAAAACCUCUAAAGCUUCCCAGCCGCUUCCACUGUUCCACACGCCACCGCCGCCGCCCCAGCCGCUCGAUGGCCGCCCCGGCGCCGGAGGAGCGCCUCGACGUGCUCACCGCCGCCGGCGACAAGACGGGCGUCUCCAAGCCCAGGUCGGAGGUGCACCGGGACGGGGACUACCACCGCGCGGUGCACGUGUGGAUCUACUGCGAGAGCACCGGGGAGCUGCUGCUGCAGCGCCGCGCCGACUGCAAGGACUCGUGGCCCGGCCAGUGGGACAUCUCCAGCGCCGGCCACAUCUCCGCCGGGGACUCCUCCCUCUCCUCCGCGCGGAGGGAGCUCCAGGAAGAACUAGGCAUCAAGCUUCCAGUCGAUGCUUUUGAGCUCAUCUUCGUUUUUCUUCACGAAUGCGUUAUCAACAAUGGGACUUACACCAACAAUGAGUACAAUGAUGUUUACCUUGUGACGACUUUAACUCCAAUUCCACUCGAGGCCUUCACUCUCCAAGAAAGUGAAGUAUCUGCAGUUAGGUAUAUGCACCGUGACGAGUACAAGAGCUGCCUUGCAGCAGAAAGCGGAGAAUAUGUACCUUAUGAUGUGAAUGGGCAAUACGGCCAACUGUUCAGUAUUAUUGAGGAAAGGUACAAAGAUAACACGGAGUCUCGCAGCUUAACCUUACAAAAGCAAAUUAGUCGUUAUGCUCCCAUCCAUUUGGAACCAGAGUUGACUACUCUAUCUGAAGGAGACAAAGAAGCCUUGGGAUAUAUUCUUAAAGCAUCAAUGGUUAUUGAUGAAAUAUUUUAUGAGCAGGUAUGGAAUAGCAACACAAUGCUAAGAGACUGGCUAAAAGCACAUGCUGACUCCUCCUCCCUUGAUAGUCUGAAGUGGGCAUAUUACUCUAUUAAUAAAAGUCCAUGGUCCUGCCUUGAUGAAAAUAAGGCUUUUCUAUCCACUGCCGAUUCGGCUGUGAAAUUGCUCACAGAUGCCACCAAGCCAAUUUCAGGAUGGAAGGGGCUUGAGUAUCGUGCAGCAUUCCCUCUAGAUAAGCCUCGUGGCGCGAACUUCUAUCCUGCUGACAUGAACAAAAUGGAGUUUGAUUUAUGGAAAAGUGGACUAACUGAUAAGGAACAAAAAGAUGCAACUGGAUUCUUUACUGUCAUAAAACGGCCUGAUGCUUUAUUGACUACAUCAGUAGCACAGUCAGAUGGACCAAAUCAAACCAAUACUUCAGAUGAUCUUUUUAUUGUUCCAUAUUCCAUGGAGUAUAAAGCAUCCCUUGAGAAAGCUGCCGAGCUUCUCCUUAAAGCAUCAGAUUGUUCUGAUUGUCCAAGCCUGAAGAAUUUGCUCAGAACCAAGGCAAAUGCUUUUCUUUCAAAUGAUUACUAUGAAUCUGACAUAGCUUGGAUGGAGUUGGACUCCAACAUAGAUGUCACCAUUGGCCCAUACGAGACAUAUGAAGAUGGCCUGUUUAGUUAUAAGGCAACCUUUGAAGCAUUUGUUGGGGUGCGGGACGACGUUGCAACUUCUCAAGUUAAACUCUUUGGUGAUCAACUCGAGGAUUUGGAGAAAAAUCUUCCACUGGACAAUAUUUACAAAUCAGACAAUGUAUCUGCUGCUCCAAUUCGCGUGAUGAAUCUUCUUUACAACUCUGGGGAUGUGAAAGGUCCUCAAACUAUAGCUUUCAAUUUGCCAAAUGAUGAGCGGAUUGUGAAUGAGCGAGGAACUUCAAUGGUUAUGCUUAAGAACAUUUCAGAAGCCAAGUUCAAGAAUAUCUUGAAGCCUAUAGCCAAUGCCUGCAUCAGAGAGGAGCAGAAAGAAUAUGUUGAUUUUGAGCCUUAUUAUACACAUAUUGUUUGCCAUGAGUGCUGCCAUGGAAUUGGACCUCAUUCCAUAACCCUUCCUGGUGGUAAAAAGUCCACAGUUAGAAUGGAACUUCAAGAAUGUCAUUCAGCAUUGGAGGAGGCAAAAGCUGAUAUAGUUGGUCUGUGGGCGCUGAAUUUUCUUAUAAACAAGGGGUUGCUUCCUAAGAGUCUAUCAAAAUCUAUGUAUGUUUCUUUCCUUGCUGGAUGCUUCCGGUCGAUUCGCUUUGGACUGGAAGAAGCUCAUGGGAAGGGACAGGCAUUGCAGUUUAACUGGUUGUAUGACAAAGGAGCUUUUAUCUUGCAUUCUGACGGAAAAUUCUCAAUUGACUUUACAAAGGUCGAGGAAGCUGUUGAAAGCCUUGGCAGAGAGAUCAUGACGAUACAGGCAAAGGGCGACAAGCCUGCCGCGCAGUCUCUCCUUCAGUCCCGUGCAACCUUGACGCAGCCGUUGCGUGUGGCAUUGGAGAAAAUCGAACACAUGCAGGUGCCUGUUGAUAUAGCCCCUAUAUUUGGCACAGCCAGUAAGCUGCUCGCAAACAAUUAAGCACCGGAAGACAGCGAUUCAGAAAGUUUUGUGUCUCCCACUGUACCUGAUAAACUACAAAUUGUUUUCUGUUUACAUGAGAAAGUACAAAUUGUUGAAACAAGAUGAAGCACCAUCCUGGGCGACACAAAUGGAAAAUAACACAAAUAAAUGAAUGACUUCUUAAAAGGAUGGUUGUUAGCAUCACUGCCUAAAUGGAUGAACUUCUGAAGGAUCACUGUUAGCAUCACUGUCUAUUUACCAAGGUGUUUUUAGAAAGCGAUGUCUACUGUAAUCUUUGAACAUAUUCACUCAGGAAUUGGGAGCAGAGACCAUCAGAAUUCUGCUGAACUUCUGCGGUUUUGCUGCGCUGAAGGUCAUCUUGUGCUUAUAUAUAUCAGAAUGCUGGUUAACGACGCUCACGAGUCCCUUUCGCCUGAGCUAAUAAUGCGCAGGUGAGCCGAACAGGUGCAACAUUCCAAACCAAGGCAUCACUUAAAUUUAUAGGGUCCCACGAUGGUUUGGGGUUAUUAUGGUUGCUAGGUCUGAGACUUCUUUUUAUUUAUUUGUCCUUGUUCAUCAGUGUAGGAUCCAAGAAUAUACAGAUGAUAAUUGAUAAGUGGCAAAGGAAGCAGUGAAAUCUGAAGAGACAAAUCAUCAUUGUAGGUGUAACUGCAGAGCAGAUGUUGCUUCAUCAGAAGAAAACACAGGGCACUAACAUUUCACUUCUGAAUGGUGAGAUUUAUCUGCAGAUGAAAAAUGGCGAAGGAAGGAUUGAAGCCCUUUGGCCCGGGCCGGUCGGCUGGCUCGCCGGCCCCGGCGGCGCUGGUUAGUGCCAGGUGGCAUCGGGAACAUGGUCAAGGAGCUCCGAGCGUCGGGACGUUGGGGAGAAAGCUCUUGGAUGUGGUCGAGACUGGAGGAGGAAAAGCACUACGGAGGUGGCCCCAGUCGCUGGCGCAGACACACACCUUGAGCACAAGCAGCAUGGGAGCUCGACAUAGGUGGCCUCGGCGAGUGCGCGCGGCGGUCUGCGUCUGUGCUUGGCAUGGCCGGUGUCGCCACGGCGUCGGCGGGGCUGGGGUGUUCAGCGACGACGCAUGGCAAGGCGAGGAUGGCGUUGUCUGGAAGAGGACGACGAUAACGUGGCAGGGUGACGGCGUCCAGCGGCGCGGUGGAUGGAUGCGCCAUGCGUGCGUGCAGCGUGAUUACGCUAGCAGUGGCGGCAUGAUGGAUGGGCACCCCUAUAUCUCGCCUUCAGCGACUCCAGCUUCCGACUCGCUAAAGGGGGAGCGAGAUGGUCCGGC
rnacentral:rRNA from 1 species